rnacentral:rRNA from 1 species
ACCUGGUUGAUCCUGCCAGUGGUCAUAUGCUCGUCUCAAAGACUAAGCCAUGCAUGUCCUAGUUCAUAACUAUUUAGUUGAAACUGCGAAGCGCUCAGUAAAUCAGUUAUAGUCUGUUCGAUCGUUCAAGCCCAUGGAUAACUGUGGCAAAUCUAUAGCUAAUACAUGUAAAAGCCCUCACCUUGGGGCACAUUUAUUGGCUAACCGACACCACCCGGCCGCAGGUCGGGUAGCAGGUGAAUCUAGAUAACUGUGCUUACCGCACGGCUUCUUGCCGGCGGUAGUUCGAUCGAAUUUCUGCCCUAUCAAAUUGUUGGUAAGGUAGUGGCUUACCAAGUUGGUAACGGGUAACGGGGAAUCAGGGUUCGAUUCCGGAGAGGGAGCCUGAGAAACGGCUACCACAUCCAAGGAAGGCAGCAGGCGCGCAAAUUACCCAAUCCAGACAUUGGGAGGUAGUGACGAGAAAUACUGGGGGCGCUCCAUGCGAGUGCCAUCCGGAAUGAACGUAACACAAAAAAUUCGAUGAGGAUCUACUGGAGGGCAAGUCUGGUGCCAGCAGCCGCGGUAAUUCCAGCUCCAGUAGUGUAUAUCAACAUUGUUGCGCUUAAAACGCUCGUAGUUGGAUUACAGGGCUCCAAACACAGCCGCAAAUGUGUGGAUGUGGUCGCUGUACGCCACCGUCAGUUCCCAGCAAACACUGGGUCUGGGACGCGGUAAACACGACAAGAGCCCUUUUGUCGCACUGGGUGCUGGGCAGUGUCUUGAUUGGCAUCGCUCAGUAACCGGGUGGAGUGUGCCCUUGAAUAAAGCAUAGUGCUCAAAGCAGGCGAAAGCUCGUGUGUAAUUAGCAUGGAACGAAAUAAUAUGGCUGGGAGUGUACGGCGAUUCCUGAAAAGGAAUUGGUAUACUCCUCGGUUCGAUCAGUGUUGGUUGGAACCACGGUCUCAACGUUUAACAGGGACACCUGAGGGCACUAGUACUUUGUGGCGAGAGGUGAAAUUCUUAGACCCACAAAAGACUAACUACUGCGAAAGCAUUUGUCAAGAGUGUUUUCAUUAACCAAGAACGAAGGUCAGAGGAUCGAAGACGAUCAGAUACCGUCCUAGUUUUGACAGCAAACUUUGCCAGCAUAGGGUUGGGGCGGUCGCUCGUUUACAUCGAGACGUACCACCUCAGGCCUUAAGGGAAACCUAGCUUUCGGGCUGCUGGGAGAAUAUCGUUGCAAGGCUGAAAUUUAAAGAAAUUGACGGAGAGGCACCACCAGGAGUGGAGCCUGCGGCUUAAUUUGACUCAACACGGGGAAACUCACCAGGUCCAGACAUUGGUAGGAUUGACAGACUGGUAGAUCUUUCAUGAUUCGGUGAAUGGUGGUGCAUGGCCGUUCUUAGUUGGUGGAGUGAUCUGUCAGGUCUAUUCCGGUAACGAGCGAGACCACGGCCUUUAGUUGACGGUGGUGUGCCUUUCAAAGGUGCUCCAAGGCCUAACUAGAGGGACUAUCGGUGUUUUAAACCGGGGGAAGCGUGGCAAUAACAGGUCUGUGAUGCCCUUCGAUGUCCUGGGCUGCACGCGCGCUACAAUGGCAGCAGUAAAGAGUGUUGCUGGCCAGAGAUGGCUGGCUAAACUGUAAAUGGCUGUCGUGAUAGGGAUUGAGCCUUGUAAUUUUUGCUCAUGAAAGAGGAAUUCCUCGUAAGCACGAGUCAUCAGCUUGUGUUGAAUACGUCUCUGCCUCUUGUACACACCGCCCGUCGCUACUACCGAUUGAAUUGCUUCUAAAGCUGGCUGGACCGGAUUCGUACCUUGGUAUGAGCUGGGAGGGCCGACGAUGGAUGCCAUUUAGAGGAAGUAAAAGUCGUAACAAGGUUUCCGUAGGUGAACCAGCGGAAG